AAGAAAAGCCUUUUCUAAUGUGCACCUAUUUUGUUUUAUCCAACAAAUGUGAAUGGCUUUGUAUUUACAUGUUGUCUGGUGAAAGACUGGAGUAAUUGAUUACUAAAUUCCCCUUUAGUUUUAAUUAGAGUUGUGUGACUUUUCUUUGUAAAUGAAGCUAAGGCCAUGUUGUUUCAGGAUUUGACAUAACCUCUAAUGAUAUUUUGGACUUUUUUGGUUCUGUGCUAAGUACUAAGACAUCUUGAUUUUGGGGUAAGUUCUUAGACAUCUUGAUUUUGGGGUAAGUUCUUCUAUCCUAAGUGACAUAGUUAUGUAUGUCGAUUUGUUUCUGAUAUUUGGGAUGAGGGCUUUCAACUGUCAGGGACUACUACAGCCCUUUCCAGAAGUUGUUGCUGUCUCUCUCUCAGGUAUGGUGACUACCCGAUGCUCCCUAACCGCUCACAGCAUGAGAGGGAUCCGUGGUAUGAAUGGGACCACCCAGACCUCAGGCUGAACUGGGGUGAACCGAUACACUGGGACCUAGACAUGUACAUCAGGAAUCGUGUGGACACAUCUCCUACACCGGUUUCCUGGGAUGUCAUGUGUAGACAUCUCUUCGGCUUUGUGGCUUUCAUGGUUUUCAUGUUCUGGGUAGGGGACAUGUUCCCUUCCUACCAGCCUGUGGGUCCGAAGCAGUACCCGUACAAUAAUCUGUACCUGGAGCGAGGCGGUGAUCCUUCCAAAGAACCUGAGCCCGUGGUUCACUAUGAGAUCUGAGGAGGCUCCGUGGGCUCUCGUGCCCUCUGAAUGGGACUCCUUGUUCCUAGAGGUUUCACCUUAAUAAAAUCCCUAAUAAAGCUC
rnacentral:lncRNA from 1 species